rnacentral:tmRNA from 1 species
GGGGGUGUUUUGGUUUCGACUAGCUUUGCUAGGUCAUGGACUGCAGACCAAGAGCUGACUUGUAAAACCGGCGCAAAAAAUUAAAUGCAAAGAAAGAAGACGACAACGUCGAAACUCUUGCUUUUGCUGCUUAAUUAAACGCAGCAUGGGGAAGGCGGAGAUGCUUCCGCUCUGCAUUCCCUAACAGACAAAGGAAGCUUUUUUGCUCAUAAGGGCCGUAUGAGUCGAAGAAAAACAGGUCAUAUCUUUUCUUUACGUUUGUUGCUUUACCGAUAGAUUAGAGAAAAUUUAGAAACAGCAACUAAGCCUGUAGACGUUCAUGGAUAGACUGUUAGGACGGGAGUUCGAGUCUCCCCACCUCCA